UCCUUUAUCACUUGCUUGAAAAAACUGACAGUCGCGCAGUCAGUCAAGUAACGUCACAUUAUUUCUGAUUUAGGAGAAAUUAUGAUUUGGAGGCUUAUUACGGUUCUCGAGCGAGUUUACUCACUUCUCACAUUUUCAUCUCACGUGAGUUUAGUCACUCUAUUACGGAUCUCUCGAGUGAAAAUGUGAAGUAACUAGGCACUUCCGGUAUAGGGAUCUCACAUUUUCACGAAAGUUGACUCCAUUUUGUCAGAUAACCUAGAAAAGUUGUUGUGAAUGUCAGAAAGAAUUGUUGAAGAAAAUGAACGUGACAGAAGUAUAAUAUAUAAAAUAUAUAAUAAAUAAUAUAAAUAUAUAUAAGUUAUAUUGAAUGGGUCUGAGGCAUCGCGUAGUGUUCGUCGUAUUCUGAGCAUUCGAUUUUCCCGAUUUUGCAUAAUCACGAUAACUAAAUUAUUCAUUGUACAAGUUCCCACGUAUCAAUAACUUUUACUCUUUAACCAACAAAUAUGGAGUGAUCUUCGUUCUUUGAUGAAACCGAUGGAACUUUCAGGCAAAUUCAAGCAAAUUACGCUCACGAGCAUGCGCAGAACGAUUCUCGACACCGAAUUUCGUGUCGAGUUUAUUCAUGUGGAUAACCUCGUCUUUUCACCUCGUGAGAUUCACCGUAAUAGGUGAUCAACACUUUUUAGUGACUGUAGUGAUUGGAUCUAACGGAAUAGGCCAAUGAAACUACUUAGUGUCAUGUGUCAGAAAUUGACGCAAGGACAGUGCAUGUUCAAUCGCGUUUUUGAGACAAAUCGGGAAAGGGAUGAUCGUUUCAAUUACCUUACGAUUAAAAAUAUUAACACAGUUCAGAAUAUUGUAUUCCAGAAUGAUGUAAGCUUACUUGAGAUUGCAUAAGAAUGGCAUGUUGGGAAGUUAUUAUUUGUGUUCAUGAAUACCGGUAUGUUGUAUGUAUGAAAUUACAACCAUGUAUUAAAAUUGUUAAAACGAAACCAAUGAUACAAAGUAUAUACAAUGUUGUAAGCAUUUAUUAAAAAUGUAUGAAAUAAA
rnacentral:lncRNA from 1 species